rnacentral:rRNA from 1 species
AUGAAGCUCCAAUGGCGAACAAAAAAAUGCUUUGAGGCACUUGACAAGAGCCUAAGAGAUGUGCUCAGGUUCACCAAUGAGAAUAGUUGCAACAAGCCCUUUGGCGGCAUGACAGUUGUUCUAGGAGGGGACUUUCGACAAAUCCUCCCUGUUGUGCCAAGGGGAAGAAGGGAGCACACUAUAAGUGCAUCAAUCAAAUGCUCAUACCUCUGGCAACAUUUCAAGGUAUUCAACCUUACCAAAAAUAUGCGUCUCAAUUCUCUGUCCAAUGAUCAAGCAGAGCAGCAGAAGACUGCGGAAUUUGCGGAAUGGAUACUACAGAUCGGUAAUGGAGACACAUGUUUAUUAGAUGAAAAGGAGUAUGUAAGUAUCCCCAGUGAUCUGCUGCUAGAAAAAGGAGAUAAUCCGAAAACAAAAAUCAUCCAAAGUACCUAUCCUGACCUCCAGGACAAUAUCUGCACACAGAAGUUCCUGGAAGAAAGGGCGAUAUUGUGUCCUUUGAACGAGAGCGUUAAUGAGAUCAAUGAGCAUAUUAUGGGUCAAAUCCAAGGCGACAGGAUGACAUACCUGAGCUGUGACAGGAUGAGCAGAUCAAUGUCUUACAGCCAUGAAAUGGAAUUGUUGUAUACUACAGAGUUUCUAAACAAGUUAAAGCACCCAGGAUGUCCAGAUCACCUACUUGAGCUCAAAGUCGGUCUGCCAGUGAUGCUUCUUCGCAACAUCAAUCAAAGUGCAGGGCUAUGCAACGGUACAAGAAUGACAAUCACAAAACUUGGAAAAAGAGUCGUCGAAGCACAGAUCAUAACUGGAGCACACGUCGGUACUAAGGUAUGCAUCCCUCGGAUCAUCACACUGACAUUCAAGCCUAAAUGGCCAUUCGUACUAGAAAGAAAGCAAUAUCCUCUAUCCGUGUGCUUCGCAAUGACAAUCAACAAGAGCCAGGGGCAAUCUUUGAACAAGGUCGGCAUCUACUUGCCCAGGCAAGUUUUCACUCAUGGGCAACUCUAUGUGUUGGUCUCCAGAGUAACAAACAGGAAUGGCCUGAAGAUCCUGAUCGCCGACGACGACGAAGAACACGCAAGCAAAGGGAUGGCGAAGAACAUAGUGUACAAGGAGAUCUUCUGA